GAUGAACGCUGGCGGCGUGCCUAAUACAUGCAAGUCGAGCGAACAGAUAGGGAGCUUGCUCCUUUGACGUUAGCGGCGGACGGGUGAGUAACACGUGGGUAACCUACCUAUAAGACUGGGAUAACUUCGGGAAACCGGAGCUAAUACCGGAUAACAUUUGGAACCGCAUGGUUCUAAAGUGAAAGAUGGUUUUGCUAUCACUUAUAGAUGGACCCGCGCCGUAUUAGCUAGUUGGUAAGGUAACGGCUUACCAAGGCAACGAUACGUAGCCGACCUGAGAGGGUGAUCGGCCACACUGGAACUGAGACACGGUCCAGACUCCUACGGGAGGCAGCAGUAGGGAAUCUUCCGCAAUGGGCGAAAGCCUGACGGAGCAACGCCGCGUGAGUGAUGAAGGGUUUCGGCUCGUAAAACUCUGUUAUUAGGGAAGAACAAAUGUGUAAGUAACUGUGCACGUCUUGACGGUACCUAAUCAGAAAGCCACGGCUAACUACGUG
rnacentral:rRNA from 1 species